UGGCAGUGCAUCAGCCAGCUGCCAGCGAUCUCCGGACGCAUCUUCACCGUCUGGUCAGAGAGAGACAUGAGAACAGGCUCACAGCUCUGAGAGGGACAUGAGAACAGGUUCACAGCUCUGAGAGAGGCAUGAGAACAGCCUCACAGCUCAGAGAGAGGCAUGAGAACAGCCUCACAGCUCAGAGAGAGGCAUGAGAACAGCCUCACAGCUCUGAGAGGGACAUGAGAACAGGCUCACAGCUCAGAGAGGCAUGAGAACAGCCUCACAGCUCUGAGAGGGACAUGAGAACAGCCUCACAGCUCAGAGAGAGGCAUGAGAACAGCCUCACAGCUCAGAGAGAGGCAUGAGAACAGCCUCACAGCUCAGAGAGAGGCAUGAGAACAGCCUCACAGCUCAGAGAGAGGCAUGAGAACA